rnacentral:rRNA from 1 species
AUUGAACGCUGGCGGCAGGCCUAACACAUGCAAGUCGAGCGAGCGGCGGACGGGUGAGUAAUGUAUGGGGAUCUGCCUGAUGGCGGGGGAUAACUACUGGAAACGGUAGCUAAUACCGCAUACCAUCAGAUGAACCCAUAUGGGAUUAGCUUGUAGGUGAGGUAACGGCUCACCUAGGCGACGAUCCCUAGCUGGUCUGAGAGGAUGAUCGGCAACAAUGGGACUGAGACAAGGCCCAGAAUCCUAAGGGAGGCAGCAGUGGGGAAUAUUUGACAAUGGGCGAAAGCCUGAUGGAGCCAUGCCGCGGGUAUGAAGAAGGCCUGCGGGUUGUAAAGUAAUUUCAGGCGGGAAGAGUUACCGACAAAAGAAGCACCGGCUAACUCCGUGCCAGCAGCCGCGGUAAUUC